UUUCUUUUCUUUUCUUUGAAA
rnacentral:piRNA from 1 species